UCGGUCUAAAAUCCGUAUAAACUCGCUAAUUAUGCAACGCAUAGACAUGAAACUUUAACCAGUAGUGAAUAAUGCAUUACUCUUCAAUACUGUCUGCCAAUUUUUCAAUUAAAUAGAUAAUUUUUGAGAAAUCUGUAAUAUUGAAUUUCGUAAGUAAACCGGGCAAGCGGGUGUCUGCGCGGGCGACGAGGAGCAUUCGCCUCUCGGCCGUUGUAUGAGGAGCUUGUGUCGUUUGAUGCGACGCGCGCGCAUUUAUUGUUUAUUAUUUUAUUUUUAUUGACCCCACAAUUUUGACAUUUGUGUGAUAGGACACUGUAGACACUUUAGUUUUACAAGUGAACGAAAGGACGCAUUUACUUAUUUGCUUGUGCAAAUACUGUUUAUUUAGUUUUAUAAGCGAGCGAAAGGACGAAAUAACUACCUAUUUGUUUACUUGUGCAAAUUGAAUAUGCCGAAAGUUUCAAAAGUAAAAUGAUAUCAGCAACAAAGGCUCACGGAAAUAAAAAUCGCAGUAGCUCAAAGAAAAAGACAGGUACUACAACAACUCGAUGGAAAUAUAGAAAAGAUUUAACUUCAGAAAAUUGUCAACUUCGAACUUGCGAUGUCACACAG